rnacentral:ncRNA from 2 species
GGACACAACCCUGGAGAGACCCAUUUGGGCAUCGAAGAAGUAAUCUGCAUUUGUGUGCAGAGAAGCUUUCAGAUAAAAGGACAGGGAAAGGGAA